rfam:TPA: Bos taurus chromosome X, whole genome shotgun sequence.
UCCCUGGUAGCUCAGUUGGUUAAGAAUCUGCCUGCAGUGCAGGAGACCUGGGUUUGAUCCCUGGGUCAGGGAA